GAGAGCACAGUACGAUGAAAGUUGUAAGCUGUGUUCAGGAGGGAGUUAUUGUUUAUCGUUGGCCUUUAUGGUAUAAUCAGUCGGGGAGCCUAAGAGGCGGUGGUUUACCUUAU
rfam:Vitis vinifera, whole genome shotgun sequence of line PN40024, unoriented chromosome 11, chr11